GGUUGGCAAAACAGAUGGUUUCAGACCAGAGGUUGAGCCGAGGACAGCUUACGUUGAGCAGCUAGAGCAGAACCUGGAAACUAGCAACAUUGGUGAAGAAAAGCACAUACAAGUUUGUGAUUAGAAACUUGUAAGAAAAAACACUGAUAGACAACAACAUGUCAGUGGAAGAUAGCAAAAGCUGCAGGAGUCUGGACAGACGGGAAGAGGAAGGAGAAGAGGGAAACAGCUCCAAGCUGAGGAAACCUCACUGCUGUGAUCAGUGUGACAGGAGUUCUUCUGCCACAUGGAUUCUGAAACAUCUACGUAUCCACACUGGAGAGAAACCUUUCCUCUGAGACGUUUGUGGAAUGAGCUUUAUUCGUCUGUCGUCUCUUAAGUGUCAUCGGCUGAUCCACACUGGAGAGAGAUCUUAUGUCUCUAGCCAUUGUAGCAAGAGAUUUGCAAAGUCUGGAAAUUUGAAAAGUCAGCAGAGAAUUCACACGGGCUGCAGCCUGUGUGGAGAGAGUUUGGCAGCUUUAAAGUGUCACCAACACGUCCACACAGAAGAAAAGCCAUGUACCCGUGAGCAGUAUGGAAAGAGUUUUGCUUUGUCAAACUAUUUGAAGAGUCAUCAAACUACCCACACAGCUUCAUGUCUGUGGCUGCUGCAGCAAAAGUUUCAAAAUGCUGGGGCAUUUGAAAGCACAUCAGAGAAUCCACAAGAGAGAAGCCGUAAAGCUGUGACCGAUGCGGAUGAUGCUUCAGUCAGUCAGGAACUUAGAAAGCACAUCAGAGAACCCAUGAUGGAGAGACAGGACAACCUGAUCCAUCUCCGUCUCCUGUUUCGUCUUGAUAUUUCACUAACACAAAUGGAUUGCAACCAUGUCCCCCAGCAGGCCAAGGCAGGCCGUGUAGAAAUGGGACGCCUGUCUCAGCUCCUCUCUACGGAGGGCAACCA